rnacentral:rRNA from 1 species
GACGAACGCUGGCGGCGUGCUUAACACAUGCAAGUCGAACGGAAAGGCCCUGCUUUUGUGGGGUGCUCGAGUGGCGAACGGGUGAGUAACACGUGAGUAACCUGCCCUUGACUUUGGGAUAACUUCAGGAAACUGGGGCUAAUACCGGAUAGGAGCUCCUGCUGCAUGGUGGGGGUUGGACAGUUUCGGCGGUUGGGGAUGGACUCGCGGCUUAUCAGCUUGUUGGUGGGGUAGUGGCUUACCAAGGCUUUGACGGGUAGCCGGCCUGAGAGGGUGACCGGCCACAUUGGGACUGAGAUACGGCCCAGACUCCUACGGGAGGCAGCAGUGGAGAAUAUUGCACAGUGGGCGGAAGCCUGAUGCAGCAACGCCGCGUGCGGGAUGACGGCCUUCGGGUUGUAAACCGCUUUCGCCUGUGACGAAGCGUGAGUGACGGUAAUGGGUAAAGAAGCACCGGCUAACUACGUG